CUUAGCACUGUGGCCAUGAAAUGAGGACAGGUGAGACUCCACAGUUGUGGUUGGCGUGAUAGUGUGACUAUAAUUGGCCCCUAUGAGUGCAUAGGGAGUGGCACUGUUAGGAGGUGUGGCUUUGUUGGAAUGGGUAUGGCCUUGCCGGAAGGGUGUCACUGUGGGGGUGGGCUUUGAGGUUUCCUAUGCUCAGGAUACGGUUGAAAGUCUUAAUCAACUUCCUGUUCCUUUCUGAUCAAGAUGUAGCCAGCACCACACCUGCCUGGGUGUUGCAUGAGGAUAAUGGACUGAACCUCUGAAACUAUGAUCAAAUUUUAUUUGUGUGGGUCGUUUGCAGACAGUGCCUUCAGAGGGCAGAAGAGGGCGUCGGAGUCUCUGGAACUGGAGUUACAGCUGGUUGUAAGCCACCAAAAGGGUGGCAGGAACCAACCUUGUCCUCUACCAGGGGCACAAGUGUCCUUAACUGCUGAGCCAUCUCCCCAGACCUUAAAAAAAGAAAAAUAAAAAAUCCCUUCUAUUGAUAAAGAA